CAACGUUUCCUCCUCAGUGCAACAUGCAGGAAGGUCUGGAAGGAAAUCCUGUUGCGCAAACUAUGAAAACCUAUUCUAGAAUCCUAACUGUCAUUGCAAUUCCAGUUAUGAUGAGCUUCCUCAAGGCACUGUUCUGUUAUUGACUCACCUCCAACAUCUUAUCUCUUACAUAUGGAUAAGUGAUGAGAUGCUCAAAUGUGAUUUGUGUACUCUUGGAACUAUGGCAGUGAGAUCUUGCUUCACAUUGAUCAAGUGAUUAUUUAUUAAUUUAACUAGUUGGUCCACAGGUACGUACAUUCUCGAUUCUCAACAAAUACUUUUCCCAACUGGGACCGUGCUCAGCCCAUGUGUGUCAUGGCCACAAUGGAGAAAUCAAUACCCUUAAGAGGAAAUGUUAACUGGAUGAAGGCACGUGAGGGACUGCUUAAGUGUACUGAACUUGGUUUAUCAAAAAAUGAGUUAAAGAAGCUGUUACCAAUUGUGGAUGCCAGUUCAUCCUGUUCAGGAGCUUUUGAUGGUGUCCUUGAGCUUCUAGUUCGAGCUGGCAGAAGCCUCGCUGAAGCUAUUAUGAUGAUGAUUCCUGAAGCAUGGCAAAAUGACAAGAACAUGGAUCCUGAUAGGAGAGCACUGUAUCACU